CUAAUUUCAAAAUCUUAUUGACCAAAAACACUAAAACAGUCCUACCUCCUAAGUGUCAUGUAUCUGAUGGAGAUGGUGCUGGAGGGAAACUCAUAGGAUUCAGCUAUGAGAAAACACAUACCCUAUGCUAAUCUCACGCUUUCAUCUUUCAAGUAAACCCAUACCCCCUAACAGCAGUGUCCAGUAAAGCAGGAAGUCUAAGGAUGGGGUAAAAGGGUGGGCCACUGACACAAAUCACAUAACCAGAAC